CCUUCUCCUUUUCCUUCUCAACAUCAUACUUGGGCUUCCAGGUCUUCUCCAGAAUGGAGGUGGCAACCUUCUCAUCAUCAGCAAUCAAGAUAUUGUCAAACAGGAUGCCAUCCUGCAUUGUCCAGAUCUCAAUACCAAUAGCAGCAAUUGGAUCAAAAUCAGGCUUGUCAAGCUCAAAGUACUCAGGGUUGGGGAUCUCCUGAGGCUUCCAGAUCCCCUUGUAGUUGGGGUUGUCAAUCAUAGGUGCAUGCCACUUGCCCUUGUAAGCAGGAUUCUGCUUCAUUGGCCUCUUCCACUCACCGCAUCCAGGUGCCUCUUCACACUUUGGGUUGUCAAUCUUUGGCGCCUCCCAUUCACCAUCCUCCUCAUCAUCCCAGUCCUCGGGCUUGGCUGCCUCAGGAUCAUCAAUCUCCUCAGGCUCGUCAUCCAACCAUCCCUCAGGCUUGGUGGCUUCCUCAUCCACAAUUUCCAUGGGGGCAUCCUCAUCCCAGUCAUCAGGUUUCACUGCAUCUGGAUCAGGGAUUUUAGCUCUCUCAUCCCAGUCCUCUGGCUUCUUGUCAUCAGGGUCAGGAAUGGUCUUGGAUGGGAUAAGUGCUGGCUCAAAAUCAUCAGCAGAAAGGAAGUUUGCCUUCUUCUUUUCUUCCCCGUCGACCAAAAUUCUGACCUCAUUGUCUGGCUUCAAGAUAGCCGUGUAGACAUGAGAGAGCUUGUCAUAUGGGACAGAAGGUGGGAAUUUGAGGUGAUGCUCAACAUACUUUCCAGUCUUGGGAUUCUUGUGCUUAAGGAUGAAAUGAACCUUGUUGGUUGACCCACACUUAUCUGGACCAAACAUAAUUGUGUAUGGAGUCUCAUUAUCAAACUCCUUGGCAUCCCAUCCAGCAUCCUGAG
rnacentral:lncRNA from 1 species